AGAGAAGAAAACGCAACGAAUCGAUAGUGGCAGCUGUGGCUCACGUUUUUGGUCGAUCUCUCUACGCUACAGUAGUGCCGUACACUACGGUACACAGCUGCACACGCGACAAGCUCACGGCGGUGCUCACCUCGUACUUAACGCCCCGCGCGCGGCGCAGCCACGGGUGCUGAAUUCCAGGGCGACUGGUCGACGGCGCAGGCCGCCGCCCGCAGCGCCGAGCGGAGCGGAGCGGCCUCACGCCACGAAAAUAUCACGCGGUCCGUGGAUGAUGGACCCGGCGAGUUGACCCCUCGCCGCCUCUCCGCCUCCAGACUCCAGUGCUGUGCUGUGCUGUGCUGUGCUUCCUCCACCCGCGCGGUCCACCUGCAGCUCGCCCACCAGGCCACCACCACCUCCAUCUCCCUCCCCCGGCUAUCUUCCCCUCUCUUCCUACAGUGACACGCUCGAUGACUGGUGGGCCAUUCGGGUGUCCUACCCCACGAGCCAUCCGGAUGGGUACAGAACUAGGUUGGUAAACCUUGUACCCGUAGCUAUAUUAUUGUGCUUCUGGUGCCCGACGCCAAGCUGGACCGGUCCACGUCCCUCCUGCGCUGUACAUAUGACGAGUGGGCCCUUACUGAUCUGUCAUGAGGGGGAGAAUAAACCGUGUAAUUGUUUGGUGCACGUAGAGAUCAAGGGGAAUUAUAGCGUUUGUACAACAAAAUCGCCGCCAAACCGAGCUGGUUUGGACGAGAAAAAAAAAAGAACAUCUGUACUAACGACCAGGAGUUAAAAGUAUGGAAACAAUUUGC
rnacentral:lncRNA from 1 species